CGAGUAUUACUCGAUGCUCUAUUGUGAAUAAAUAAACUUUAGAGUGGGCACCGUCCGAACUGAAACAUCUAAGUAGGGCGAGGAAAAUAAAACAAUUAGUGAUUCCCUAAGUAGUGGCGAGCGAAAGGGGAAAAGCCUAAACCCUUCGAUUCGAUUUUGCUCCGCAAAAUCUCACUCAGGGCUAUAGCCAGAGUAAGAUUAAACGGGUCAUGACCUCAUCGAGUCUGAGCGACGAGGUCGCUAGACCUCAGAGUCGAUGACCCGAGCGAGGCGAAGCCGAGUCGAGGGGGGUUGCGGGACUCUAAUGUGGGAUUCAUUUAAGGUAGCUGAACUGUCUGGAAUGACAGACCAAAGGGAGUGAAAGUCUUGUAAGCGAAACUUUAAAUGACCCUAUGAGUAUCCCAAGUACUACGGGACACGAGAAAUCCUGUAGGAAUCUGGCGGGACCAUCCGCUAAGGCUAAAUAUGUGUUGUGACCGAUAGUGAACUAGUACCGUGAGGGAAAGGUGAAAGAGUACCCCGGGAGGGGAAUGAAAAGUACCUGAAAUUGAACGCUAACAAGCAGUGGGAGCUCGGACUUGUCCGGGUGACCGCGUGCCUAUUGAAGAAUGAACCGGUGAGUUUUCCCAUUCUGUAGUCUAAGCCCGGCAAACGGGCGGAGGCAUAGUGAAAGCGAGCGUGAAGUGCGCGAUUUAUUACAGGAUGGUAAAGACCCGAAACCGUGUGAGCUAACCAUGACCAGGAUGAAGUUUCGCGAAAGCGAGGUGGAGGUCCGAACCAGUGUCAGCUGCAAGUGGCUUGGAUGAGUUGUGGUUAGGGGUGAUAUACCUAUCGAACACGGAGAUAGCUGGUUCUCCCCGAAAUAUAUUUUGGUAUAGCCCGUAUUUUUAAACCCUGGGGGUAGAGCACUGGAUGGAUCGUGGCGAGUUUACUUGUCGCAUUCAACCAAACUGCGAAUACCGGGGCGUAUAAAUGCGGAGUCAGUCCGUGAGGGAUAAGCCUUACAGGGCAAAAGGGAAACAGCCCAGACCCAAAGCUAAGGUCCCGAAGUGUAUCUUAAGUGUAAAAGGUAGUACUUGUGCUUAGACAGCAAGGAAGUUGGCUCAGAGGCAGCCAUCUUUUAAAGAAAGCGUAACAGCUCACUUGUCGAUUUGGCGCAGGUGCGCCGAUAAUUCAACGGGGCUAAAGAUACCACCGAAGCUUGGGAUUAUCACCCCAAUUUUCUUUCGAAAAUUGGGGACCCCGCAAGAAAAAUUGUAGGGUCAAAUUUCCGAUGGAAAUUUGGGGUGGUAGUGGUAGGGGAGCGUUUGCAUUGCAGUGAAGUUUGCGGGUAACCGUGAGUGGAGCGAUGUGAAGUGAGAAUGCCGGUAUGAGUAGCGAAAGUCCCGUGGGAAUCGGGACCGCCGAAUGUCCAAGGUUUCCUACGCAACGUUCGUCGACGUAGGGUUAGUCGGUCCUAAGGCGAGGCCAGAAGGCGUAGUCGAUGGAUAUGCAGUUAAUAUUCUGCAACUUUUUUCAAAUCGUUAUCACUAAAGGGAUAACGGAGAUGGAAUAUUUCUAGGUCGAAAUGAUACGGCCUCUAAAGAGUAAGGAAGUAAAAUGCGGAAAAUCCCUUUUUAUGAUUAUUCGAACUCUUAUGGCUAGUCGGCGCAAGCUGGCAAGAGAAAUGGUUUCAACUUCCAAGAAAUUUUCUCGUUAGGAGAUUUGGGAAAAACCGUACCGCAAACCGACACAGGUGGACUGGUAUCAGUGUACUAAGGCGAGCGAGAAAACUUUCCUUAAGGAACUCGGCAAUACAACUGGACGUACCUUUGGUAGAUGUCCUCCCCGGAGCAAUCCGGGGCGCAGUUAACGACGCCAGGCGACUGUUUAACAAAAACACAGGUCUCUGCUAAGUCGAAAGAUGAUGUAUAGGGGCUGACACCUGCCCAGUGCUCGUAGGUUAACCGUUUGAGGUGACCCUGAUUUAUCAGGGAGGCUUCGGAUGUAAGCCCGGGUAAACGGCAGCAGUAACUAUAACUGUUCUAAGGUAGCGAAAUUCCUUGUCGGGUAAGUUCCGACCCGCACGAAAGGUUGAACGAUCUGGCGACUGUCUUGAGGAAAGACUCGGCGAAAUUGCAAUGGCUGUGAAGAUGCGGCCAACUUACACCAGGACAAAAAGACCCCGUGGAGCUUUACUGUAGCUUGGCAUUUUUAAGGUUUUUGGGACUGUAUAGCGUAGGAGGGAGCCUUCGGGCGCCAAUGUAACACCUCUCUUUCUAAUGACUUUAGAUCACCGUACUUCCUAAUAACAAACGGGAUGCGGGACAGUGUCUGGCAGACAGUUUGACUGGGGCGGUCGCCUCCAAAAAGGGAACGGAGGCGUACAAAGGUCGACUCAAGUCCUACAGAAACGGACUUUUAGAGUGCAAUGGCAUAAGUCGGCUUGACUGCAAGUGGUACAUCACGAGCAGGUGCGAAAGCAGGUCAUAGUGAUCCUCACAUAGCUUAUGGGAGCGUGUGAGCUUAACGGAUAAAAGCUACCCCGGGGAUAACAGGCUUAUCUUCCCCAAGAGUCCAUAUC
rnacentral:rRNA from 1 species